UGUUGGUCUGCAUCAUGGUUGACUGUUGCAUUGCAGUCCAUGCUCAACAGUUUGAAGCUUUCUAGAUUUCAUGAAAGUUCAAGGUUUUAAUGAAUCUUGAAAUGGCAGGAAUAAUUUUAUUUCAAGACUGAUGUUUUUGAACAUUAAUUCAAUCAUCUUGAAGUACACUACUUCAAGGAUGAUCUUAAGGAAGGUUGGCUUGUGCAAUUUUCCCUUUUAGGUUGGAAGAGAAUGAAGAACUUUACCCCAUAGAUUUCCGUGUAUUUAGAGAAUGCUUGGUGGAUUAUAUUCUCAUACUCAUAUCCAGAUAUACAUCAGAUGUCGGACACAGAUAAUAAGAAGAGUGAAGAAUUGAAGUAAUGUAGAUCGGAGAUUAUCCACCCUGAAAAUUUCAACCGGUAUUCCACUGGCUUCAGCAAUGUUUCUGUUAACAAGUUCAUCAAGAUUAUGGAUUGUGAAAGCAACAUGGAGGAUGAUCUUACAUUGUUCAUACUCUUCAUACUAGUGAAUGAUUCGAACAUCGAUUUCGUUUUCGUUGCAACAAGCAGAGGUCAAUAACAACUGCCACCCACCAUCUGAACGCCAUGCUGGUGCCAAUAAAUUCUUCUUCAAACAUUAAAGAGCUAUAUUACUGUGAUUCGAACAUGAAUGUCAAAUACGAAUAUGUUCUUAAUCUACAUGGAAAGACAAGAAAAAGGUGGAAGAAAGUCCAUCUCAAGCACAUUGCAUAUUGCAGAAUUUGAAACUGAAUUGCUUAUGUGAUUGAAUUCAGAUGUCUGUUAUAAAUUCUGGGUUCUUGUUCCAUACAAAAGUUUACUUACAAAUUCAUUCCCUAUUUCAUACUUAAUUUCUUGUAAACUUUUGCCUAAAUUUGUCUCCUCAAAGUACCGUAGGUAAACGGAGCUCCUAAGAACAUAUGAAAUUAUAGGAUUUGUCUCCUCAAAGUACCGUGGGUAAUCGGAGCUCUUAAGAACAUAUGAAAUUAUAGGAUAUAUUUAU